AUGAACGCUCGCGGCAGGCCUAACACAUGCAAGUCGAGGGCGAAGCCCUUUCGGGGGCAGAAACCGGCGCACGGGUGCGUAACGCGUAUGCAACCUACCUUUCACAGGGGGAUAGCCCGAAGAAAUUUGGAUUAAUACCCCAUAAUAUUAUUGGAUGGCAUCAUUUGAUAAUUAAAACUGCGGUGGUGAAAGAUGGGCAUGCGUCCUAUUAGCUAGUUGGAGUGGUAACGGCACCCCAAGGCUACGAUAGGUAGGGGUCCUGAGAGGGAGAUCCCCCACACUGGUACUGAGACAGGGACCAGACUCCUACGGGAGGCAGCAGUGAGGAAUAUUGGUCAAUGGUCGGAAGACUGAACCAGCCAUGCCGCGUGCAGGAAGAAUGCCUUAUGGGUUGUAAACUGCUUUUAUAUGGGAAGAAUAAGGCGUACGUGUACGUUGAUGACGGUACCAUAUGAAUAAGCAUCGGCUAACUCCGUG
rnacentral:rRNA from 1 species